rnacentral:misc_RNA from 1 species
AAUGCGAAUGCUCAUCACAGGGCGGACUGGUGUUCAUCGAAGUCGAUGGGGCUUUCUUUGGAAGCGAUGCUUGGCGUAUAUAUGGGAGCUCAAAUUGCGGCAAGCUUCUGGUCAUAAACAGGAGACCAUCCGUAGUGAGAACGGUGUUGGCGUUAGCAGCAGAGAGGGUUUUGGUGCGAUGGUCUGCAGCUCGCGAGAAAGCCCGGCUCGUUUGUUGCCUCACGAGUCGAUGAAACUCUCCUUGGCUUCUGCUGUGUCUCCUUCUUCUUCUUCUUCUUCAGGUACUCUACCGUCCUGUUAAUCUACGACGUCGCGAAUCACCACUGAAAAGCGACCAAGGCGCACGCUGCUGCGCACGGCCGUGGACGGCUCCUAGUGUGGGCUGGGUCUCGUCGACUCCAUCCAGUCGAGGGCGACUUGUCUGCUCGCCAAGGUCAUGUGGACGCUCACGGAUCCGUCGAUGCGUCGUUCGCCUCCGAGACAACGUUGUGUGACGAAUCCACGACUUUACUCUCUUCUAUGCACAGGGGUCGAGAGCUGCUGUGCUGCUGCGCCCUGGUCGUGCGCGGGAGCGAACGGAAACGCACGCUGCACUCUGUGGGCGUGCUCGUGACCCAUGAGGUCACGAAAAGCAUCACAGAGGAUAGCGUGCAUACAAGUACAGUAUGGGAGAGCUUGGCGCUCGUCGUCCACCCAGUGCAUCUGGAUCCCGAAGAAGAGACGGAUACGGAGUGAAGCGUCGCUGUCCGUGCUGCUCCGCCAGGUACCGGAGUAUUCGAAGAAGGAUCCGGUGUCUCCGCGCAAGUAUGACGGACUCGAACAGGUCCACGAAAAGCGUCGGCGGCGCUUCUUCAGAUGUUUCUAGUCUCCAUGGAAGGCAUGGCGUGCAGCGCGUAGCGAGGCUUUGGAUACCGACGGAUCUCCAGUACGCAUGGGCGUCGUGAAAGCGUGACCUGGGUCACCAACGAGGCUCAUUUUCAACUGUUCAAGGCAGACGAGGAGAAAGUCGCUGUUGGGAGCGUGGAUCCGAGGUUGAAGAGCGCCCUUGUCGUCCCCGUGUAUGCAAAUGAGGCGGACGGCGCCGCCCAAGACCUGAAUGGCAAGCAGACGGAGCUGCCCAGCGCGUCCAGCACUUGGUAUGAUCGGGAGCCGCGCAUCACCCUGGAUGGCAUACGGCGAAGUACGAGUCGUAAUGACUUCGUCAGGACCUGAAAGUGAACGUGCUGAGCAGUGUGUCGAGCAGCGUGGGAUGGGUUUCCACCUUUAACUCAGAGCGCGCACGAGCGUCUGACCUGCGCAUGCGCACAGCCUUUGGCAGGAUUCCGUGAGACGGCGCUGGGGGGCCACCAACGGACUCGGUUGGACGGAGGCGAGGGGCGCGCACUCGCAAAGCUCCUGGACCAGUUGGAAAAGGGAGUACCCAACAGGUCGCGUCGAUUGCUGGAAGCCUGUGGCGCUGGAUGUGCUGUGGCACGCAAACGCUGGACUCCUGUGCGUACAGCGAGUGCAGGAAUCGAUGUUGCACGUUUCCUGUGGAGGACUAGAUGGCGACGCAGACGGAGCUCGAGUGCGGAUGCUCGUGCUGCGUCUACGUUGAGCGCCACUUGGGAAACAGGGCCGAAUGUCCGACAUGGGAUACUGCGAGCGGACCUCGGACGUCAAAUUGCGAGGCAAUAGAAGCUGGCAGGCUUACUUUGGAAUGUCCGACAUGGGAUACUGCGAGCGGACCUCGGACGUCGUAUUGCGUAGCAAUUGAAGCUGGCAGGCUCACUUUGGAAUGUCCGACAUGGGAUACUGCGAGCGGACCUCGGACGUCAUAUUGCGAGGCAAAUGAAGCUGGCAGGCUCACUUUGGAAUGUCCGUCAUGGGAUACUGCGAGCGGACCUCGGACGUCAUAUUGCGAGGCAAAUGAAGCUGGCAGGCUCACUUUGGAAUGUCCGUCAUGGGAUACUGCGAGCGGACCUCGGACGUCAUAUUGCGAGGCAAAUGAAGCUGGCAGGCUCACUUUGGAAUGUCCGUCAUGGGAUACUGCGAGCGGACCUCGGACGUCAUAUUGCGAGGCAAAUGAAGCUGGCAGGCUCACUUUGGAAUGUCCGUCAUGGGAUACUGCGAGCGGACCUCGGACGUCAUAUUGCGAGGCAAAUGAAGCUGGCAGGCUCACUUUGGUGUGAUUCCAUCGCAAUUCAUGUGUGCGGGCGCAGGCUCCGCUCCGAGCCAUGAACGUCUCGAUCAACACCCGGAAAAGUCUCGUGCCUGGGGGGCGUCUAUCGGCUAUAUGUAUCGAGCGAAGUUUAAAGCGAAUCGAUUCGUGCUCCGUGUGGGCACUGUGUUUAAAUGCCGAAGACUUGCGACGAAAAAGUAUGAUUGAGCAAGAGAGCGUGCGUUGAACGCUCGCCUGGAGCAAGGCACCGGUAUGGCACGAGUCGGCGAUUCAGCAAUGCUACCAUCCCGCCUAUGCGUAUGCCGGGCAUGAUUUUCCUGGGCCAUUGGUGAACGAUGAUGAUGAUGAUGAUGAUGAUGAUGAUGAUGGUGGUGGUGGUGGUGGUGGUGGUGGUGGUGAUCCAUGAUUCGACAUACCUGACCGUACAUUGACAUGCAGAAGCAACGGAGAUUCUUUUCAAUGUAAGUGCCCACGCACGACGCUUGACGAUAUGCAUACGUGUCGAGCGUCUCCGAGGCUGCAUACCUCUACACCCGUAUCAGAAAUGAAUGGAACACGAAAGUACACGCAUUGUUCCCGUAUAUCUAUUUUUUUCGCAGUUUUGUGCAGCCAUGUGGUUCAAUCUGGAGAAAUAACGCCGUUUGGAUUCAUAUAUCGUUUCUGGAUUCUUGGUUGUGCUUCCGAGUAAAGCUUCGGAAUCUUGGCAUCCAGAAUUCAUCAUGUCAUCGUUAUCGAGGUGAUUCGCGACGCAAUGGAACCAUGGUUCGUAAAGUAACCAA